rnacentral:tRNA from 1 species
GCUAAAUUGGCAGAUUAGUGCAAUUGAUUUAGAAUCUUUAUAUAAAAUUUAUAUUUUAUUUAGCA